rnacentral:misc_RNA from 1 species
AAUUGAAUUCUUGCAAAAUUCUAAAUUCCAAACAAGAGGUAAAUGCAUUUGGACAAGAAAUUCUGUAGAGAGAACAUAAGAGGUUUCUUCAAAUGAAAAGUAUCAGACUUGGCAUGAUAUCCCCCCAAAAAACCCAUCAAAAUUCAGCAAUAUUGUAGGCCAUGGCAUAUACGUAGGUAAGCAAUGCAGACGCUAUAUAAUAUGGUUGAAGGACUGACAGUUCAUGCAGUUUGAAGGACAUCAAAUAACUUGCUGCCUUUUGACAAUUGACAAACUAAAAUUUUGCAGGUACCUUCUCUAUCUGAGCAUUGACA